CCAAGCUCAUUUGACACAGAAUUUGUAUCGGCUUACCCCAAACGCAACUUCAGAGUGAAGCACGAAAACCCAGCUGAAAAGAGGUCGGUUUCAGGAUCCUGGAACGAGAAUGUCGACUCCUAUACCCAUUUGUCAUCCAGCUGCAACAACCAGUACAAACAACAGCAACAGCUGAGGUUACCACAAAUGCUCCAGUGCCUGUCUUUCUCCAACAGAUAAAAGGGCUUUCAUUUCUUCAUGGACUUAAGGCAUUUCUAGAAGGCCAACCAAAGGCCCUUGGGACAGUCCAGAUAAUGAUCGGUGUGAUGACUUUCCUGUUUGGCAUUGUGUCUACAGUUCAUGCAGAAUCCGUCUUUGUCUUUAUUGGUUUACCGUACUGGGGAUCUAUCACUAUGCCAGUGGUCCGCAGCUCUUCUGUGAACCACCAAGAACCCGAAUACUGUAAUUGUGAAUAAAUAUGAAUUAUUAAAAAUGUUGGAACUUUUGUGAGACACACGGAUUUCCCAAUAAUUUCCUGUCCAUUAUCUGAUAAUUAUGUCAAAAACUAUUCAAAACUAGAUGAGAUGUUAUUUUAUGAAGUUCAAGUUUCAAGAAAGUUACAUGCCAAUUAUAAACAUGUUUAUUGUAAUAAGGUAUUAUAAAAUGAGUAUUGUUAAAAGAUUCUCCAUUGUCUGUAAUUUGGCUGAAGAAAUGUGUGAGUUUAUAAUAAUUUAAAUUGUUAAAACAACCUAUUCAGGCAAUUU